rnacentral:rRNA from 1 species
GACGAACGCUGGCGGCGUGCUUAACACAUGCAAGUCGAACGCUGAAGCACCAGCUUGCUGGUGUGGAUGAGUGGCGAACGGGUGAGUAAUACGUGAGUAACCUGCCCUUGACUCUGGGAUAAGCCCGGGAAACUGGGUCUAAUACUGGAUGCUACAUGUCACCGCAUGGUGGUGUGUGGAAAGGGUUUACUGGUCUUGGAUGGGCUCACGGCCUACCAGCUUGUUGGUGAGGUAAUGGCUCACCAAGGCGACGACGGGUAGCCGGCCUGAGAGGGUGACCAGCCACACUGGGACUGAGACACGGCCCAGACUCCUACGGGAGGCAGCAGUGGGGAAUAUUGCACAAUGGGCGAAAGCCUGAUGCAGCGACGCCGCGUGAGGGAUGACGGCCUUCGGGUUGUAAACCUCUUUCAGCAGGGAAGAAGCCACAAGUGACGGUACCUGCAGAAGAAGCGCCGGCUAACUACGUG